rnacentral:rRNA from 1 species
CAGUCGCCGCGGUAAUACGGAAGGUCCAGGCGUUAUCCGGAUUUAUUGGGUUUAAAGGGAGUGUAGGCGGUCUGUUAAGCGUGUUGUGAGAUUUAGGUGCUCAACAUCUAACUUGCAGCGCGAACUGGCGGACUUGAGUGCACGCAACGUAUGCGGAAUUCAUGGUGUAGCGGUGAAAUGCUUAGAUAUCAUGACGAACUCCGAUUGCGAAGGCAGCGUACGGGAGUGUUACUGACGCUUAAGCUCGAAGGUGCGGGUAUCGAACAGGAUUAGAUACCCCAGUAGUCCCUGUCUCUUAUAC